AUGAACAUUUACUUUAAAAAAUCAGUUAUAUGCGUUUGUCAGUUUCAAGGACCCCUCUUCUUUUCUAGACUGUUCGACGCGCGGCGUAAGACGAUUGUCGAGGUGCCGUUAGGACAAGUUGACUGCAAAUCCUUUGGCGCUAAUCCACCGAAACGUUCUGCUAAUGUGGCGCUGGACCAUUGCUGUUGUGUGAGAAGCGCGGUCGCACGUCACAGAUUUUGCACCUUGUACACAAGCAGAUGGGAGAAAGGGCGAAACUGUGAAAAUUGCCCAACUUCCCCAACAUCACCGGCGUCCUUCGUGUUUCCACCUUUGUCAAGAUCUCUUCGUCAAGUGCGAUUCUUCCCAUGUCUGCAAGUUCCCAGGUUCCAGCAUUCACGGCCAGUCAUCGAGUCACCGCAGCACCGUGUUCACGCUGGAUCUCCUCCCUUCACCUGCAUUACCUACAGCGUCAAAGCUGUUACUGGGGAUGCCCUGGAAAAUACAGCUCCAGAUACACUUCCUGUGCCUAAGGGGUAUAAACAGAAAGAGAGAAGCAGCUUUUGUUUGGUGGGGGGUCACAACAGGACACCCUUUGUGUGCAGUGCAGUAAGAUUUGUGAGACCAGGGAAGGGGAAAUUUAUGUGACACGCAUGGAGGUGUGUGGGCCAGUGAUUCAACAGACAUUGUGUCUCAUCCGAUCUCCUGCUGCUGUGAGUAUCUGUGAUUCAAUCUCCGCAGCAUCAGUUGUUGAAUGAUUCGGUUCAGAUGUUUCUGUAAUUACCCAGCGUCUCUCUCAGAUACAUUCAGUUGUCCAAAGAUGAAAAACAGUCAUCAACAAGGAAGGAAGCAACUGUAUGGGCUCAAUCAUAGCCAGUACAGUUUAUAUGCUGAGCAUUAAUGUCAGCAUAUUGUUCACUGUGUUCUUGAAGAAGGAGAAAUCGGUUGGAGAAAGUAGGGGAUCCUUCACAUACCCACUGCACAUGCACCUAACUUCUUCUUCUUCUUCUUCUUCUUAAAAACAAUCACAGGAUAUUCUUGAAUGGGUGUCUCAGAAACACAAGAGGUGCUAGGACUGUUUUCAAGGGUGAGAAAAUCUCAGUGGAAUCACAAUUUUUGGUAAGACCAGAGAACUGUGUGGAUGUUGGGUCUGAUGUAUAACUUGUGUUUCAGAACCACUCUUUCCUUCUACCAAGAGGAGCACUUUCUGAAAACUUGCGGUUAGGACUGGAUGCUGUUCCACAAUCAUUCUGCACUCCAGUAGCAAUUAAAAAAAACGUUUUUUUUUCUGAUCACGGAAUCACAGCACUAAAAAAAGUAGAUCCCGGAUAUUACUCAAACAACCUUUGAGGCAUCCAAGGUCGACAUCGAUGUGUUAUUCAUAAUUUCUCAUCAUAAGUUUACAAAGGUGCUUGACUGACCUGUUUUGCUGUACAGGUUCGUGUUCAUAUGAGUAAAUACACCGAUUUCUGAACUUAUGAACAUAAAUGGAAGUCUGUUCAUAAUUUGUUGUGUUCAUAAUUCAAAAGUCACAUUUACCACUAAGUCACUAUCAAUUAAAGCUUAGUAUUACAGACAUUAGCCUAACC
rnacentral:lncRNA from 1 species